rnacentral:rRNA from 1 species
AUUGAACGCUGGCGGCAGGCUUAACACAUGCGAGUCGAGCGGCGAUGAGGUGCUUGCACCUUAUCUUAGCGGCGGACGGGUGAGUAAUGCUUAGGAAUCUGCCUAUUAGUGGGGGACAACAUUCCGAAAGGAAUGCUAAUACCGCAUACGUCCUACGGGAGAAAGCAGGGGAUCUUCGGACCUUGCGCUAAUAGAUGAGCCUAAGUCGGAUUAGCUAGUUGGUGGGGUAAAGGCCUACCAAGGCGACGAUCUGUAGCGGGUCUGAGAGGAUGAUCCGCCACACUGGGACUGAGACACGGCCCAGACUCCUACGGGAGGCAGCAGUGGGGAAUAUUGGACAGUGGGGGGAACCCCGAUCCAGCCAUGCCGCGUGUGUGAAGAAUGCCUUAUGGUUGUAAAGCACUUUAAGCGAGGAGGAGGCUACUGAGACUAAUACUCUUGGAUAGUGGACGUUACUCGCAGAAUAAGCACCGGCUAACUCUGUGCCAGCCGCCGCCGUAAUAC